ensembl:lncRNA
UUCUUUUUUUCCCCAAGAACUUGACAUUUCCCCUCCCUCUGGUGCCCACAACUACGGAAGCAGCCUUGGCUGGCACAUGGCAUCUCUUCGGGACUCAAGAGUCACUACAGCUUCCAGAUGCCCACUGGAGAAGGUCUUCAGCUGGAAGUGUUUGGUAAUGAGCAGUGCCAGGGUACACUUGCCGGAGCCCGCGGCACCCACGAUCACAGGAGUGCAGGAGCUGCCUCGAUGGCCCCAUGGCUGCCAAGCGAGGCCAGGACCGCGGAGAUGGUUGGGCCCCAGGGUGGACACCAGCUGCGCCUGCACCCCCGCCUUCGCUGCCCGGCAUCUGGGGUGGCACCUAGAAGAAGCGCUGCUUCAGAGGGUGCGACCCACGGCUGAUGGAGGUAUGGAAGAGGGCAUGUGUGAAUUGAACGAUUGGGGUCAAGACAUUCCCCCUAGGAGGGUGUAAAGGUGGAGGAGAUGGGAAGUCUGAAAGGAAAAUGAAGAAACAAAGUGUAGAUUCAGAAGUUCCACUAUUCACAGGAGAAAAAGGAGAAGAGGGAGGGAUACAGUAUUUAAAGAGAAAAUUAAAGGGACUUCCCUGGCGGCUCAGUAGUUAAGACUUCUUCCUCUCACUGCCAAGGGCCUGGGUUCAAUCCCUGGUCUGGGAAUUAAGAUCCCACAUGCCCACAUGGCCAAAAAAAAAAAGAUAAUUAAAGACAAGAAUUUCCCAGAAUUAAAGAUGGUACAAGUCACAGGAAUAGAUAGUGGAACAGUUCAGAGAGUCUAGAAGCAAAUGUCAGCAAAGUUGGUUCGUAGGCCUCUCACACUCCGCUGAUGGGGUGUCCUCACAGCUGCUUGGGAAGGCAACUUGGCAGUGGCUAUUUUUUAAGAAAUUACUUCUUCAGAUCAGAUCAGAUCAGUCACUCAGUCGUGUCCGACUCUUUGCUACCCCAUGAAUCGCAGCACCCCAGGCCUCCCUGUCCAUCACCAACACCCGGAGUUCACUGAGACUCACGUCCAUCGAGUCAGUGAUGCCAUCCAGCCACCUCAUCCUCUGUCGUCCCCUUCUCCUCCUUCCCCCAAUCCUUCCCAGCAUCAGAGUCUUUUCCAAUGAGUCAACUCUUCUCAUGAGGUGGCCAAAGUACUGGAGUUUCAUUCCUUAGACAAACACUCUUGUGUGGCAAGAAGGCACAUACAUGAUGUUCAUUUCAGCCUUAUUUGUAACAGCAAAAAAAUCGUUAACAAUUUAGCUGUGUAUUAAUUAGAGAAUAGCUAAGGGAACCUGUGGAAUACUACCCAGCAGCUAAGAAGACAGAUCUAUGUGCUAACAUGAAAAGAUUUCUGAUAUUGUAAAUGUAAAAAGUUUCAGAUUGAUACAAUUUAGGUUAAAGAAUGGUGUAAUUUAUGGUUAAAUAUAUUUAAUAAGUGAACUCAGAAGCCAGGUUUCUAGCAGUGGACGGACAUGAUUUUACUUUUAGACAAUUGCUUCGUUUGCAAGAUGGCGAGCAGUUAGAAGGCUAUUUCAGUAGACCAACAAAGAGGUGAGAAAGUACACUAAUUUUAAUGUCUUCAAUGUAAGUGAGAUUGAGCAUCUUUUCAUCUCUUUUAUGGGCCAUUUAUACUAUUUCUCCAUGGAGAAUUUUUAAACUGACAGUUACCUGCUGAUCACUUCCUUGGAAAAAUACUUCGGGUUUGGUUUACGCAACAAAAUGUGAAACAGGUGGACAGUUUUGUCUUGGGUGGUCCAAGUAUAGACUAUGCAUCACGUGGGGCUUCUCUAAUUAGAGGUUGCUGAGCCACCAGCCCUGCAUCCACUUCCUUCUCUAACCAUUCUUGAGCCACUUCAUUUCUGAAAA